UACGAAGGGUGCAAGCGUUACUCGGAAUUACUGGGCGUAAAGGGCGCGUAGGCGGCCCUCUUAGUCGCGUGUGAAAGCCCCGGGCUCAACCUGGGAACGGCGCGCGAAACGGGGAGGGCUGGAGUUCGGGAGAGGGAGAGUGGAAUUCCCAGUGGUAGCGGUGAAAUGCGUAGAUAUCUGGAGGAAUACCGGUGGCGAAGGCGGCAUCCUGGACCGACAUUGACGCUGAGGAGCGAAAGCCAGGGGGAGCCAAACGGGGG
rnacentral:rRNA from 1 species